AGUGAACGCUGGCGGUAGGCCUAACACAUGCAAGUCGAACGGCAGCACAGUAAGAGCUUGCUCUUACGGGUGGCGAGUGGCGGACGGGUGAGGAAUACAUCGGAAUCUACUUUUUCGUGGGGGGUAACGUAGGGAAACUUACGCUAAUACCGCAUACGACCUACGGGUGAAAGCAGGAGAUCUUCGGACCUUGCGCGAUUGAAUGAGCCGAUGUCGGAUUAGCUAGUUGGCGGGGUAAAGGCCCACCAAGGCGACGAUCCGUAGCUGGUCUGAGAGGAUGAUCAGCCACACUGGAACUGAGACACGGUCCAGACUCCUACGGGAGGCAGCAGUGGGGAAUAUUGGACAAUGGGCGCAAGCCUGAUCCAGCCAUACCGCGUGGGUGAAGAAGGCCUUCGGGUUGUAAAGCCCUUUUGUUGGGAAAGAAAAGCAGCAGGUUAAUACCCCGCUGUUCUGACGGUACCCAAAGAAUAAGCACCGGCUAACUUCGUG
rnacentral:rRNA from 1 species